UCAGGUAAAUGUAGAAAAUGUGAUGAAAACCUUUGGUGAAAACUCCAAAAGGGCAACAAAUGUAUUACUUAAUGUUAUUCCUAAAUUAAAAGAUUACGACUGGACAGCAAAGUUGAAGGAAAAUGCGGAUUUGGUGAAAGGAUCUGUGUUGCUGCCUCACAGCUAUUAGAUGUACAUCACAUUAUGUGGCGGGACAUUGCCAAGACUUUUCGACAUCUCAACAUGGCCCGUCUACCUUUCCUUCAUCAUACAUGUACUUCACUUAAACAAGAUACUCUAACAGCUACUAGAGGGACAUCACAGUGCUUGGACAUUGUCAGGAAAUUUCAGCAUGUGCUGGGACAUCUCAACAUGUGCUGCCUAUCUUUCCUUCAUCAUACUUCAUGUAAACAAGAUACUCCCACAGCUACUAGAUGGAUGUCAUAACAUGUGCAGUCUAUCUUUCCCUCAUUAUAGCUUAUACUCUCUUAGACUAAUAGUUAACAAGAUACUUCUUCGGUAAACAAGAUACACCCCAGUUAAAGGUACUAAUUCCCUCCAGUUACUAAAUGGAUACCUCAUUAUACACCAGUGAAACAUGCCUUCAUCAUACUUCAUAUUCUCUCAACUGGAGUGACUAGUCAAGAUGUGCUUAAUAUGUCAACAUUACUUUUUCAGGAUGGUUUAAGAUGGGGGGUCACUGUCCCCCAAAAAUGCUUCAGUUAUUUCAAGUCAUCAUGUCAAUUCAAGAACUUUAUGCACUGAAAAGUUUUGUUCCCUCUGAAAAAGCAGUGUUGUAGGAGGAAUGAAUCACUUCUGUGAGAGUUCUAGUUGCAUUAGACAAGCCCAGUUCCGCUAUACAGAAUCGGAAUAGUCGAGCAUGCUGUCUCCUCCGACAGCUGUUUCUUAGGUUCUGCUGGACAGAUAUACGAUUAUGAAGAUUGUUAUGUGCUUGAAAUUUUUUUGUUUGUUAUGCUAAGAAUCCUAGUUAGCACUGAACGGCAGGAUUUGAUAUUACACAAUGUAUUUGAUUUAUCAGAUUCAGUGCCUGAAAACUAUCUGCUCAUGAAACAAAAUUAUGUUUGAUGGCUUCAUUGAAAAUAACCCUUAUCAUGAUGGGCACGAUUGAUUCUGCCAUUGCGACCAGUGUACAUCUUGAUCAGCCUGCACAUCCAUGCAGUCUGAUCAAGAUCUGCACUGUUCACCAUUCAGUCAGUAUCUUUUGGUAAGCACCCCUUUUAAAAGUUAAUGGUACUGUCCAAAUUGAAAGAUGGACAAGUUCAUUAUAGAAAUACAGCAGGGUAAGAGUUAAAUCCAAAACACAAGAGACCAACAUUGUUUAAUCUUUAUUAGUAAAUCAAUGCAUAUAGUAUUAACAAUUGCUCAAUUUGUAACAUGUAACACAGAUAUGCCUUGUCAGUAUAGUGUCUGUAAAUUAUAACAAUUAAAACUCGACAAUACAGUGCUCCCUCUCUACAACACCCUUUGGGAGACGGAAAAUUUGGUUGUUGUUCGGAGGGAGUUGUUGUAGAGAGGUAAAAUAAAGAACAAUUAAUUUAGCAUAUUUUGGAGUCAGUAGCAAGUGUUGUUGCAAGGAGGGAACUGUUGUUGUUCAGAGGGUCGCUGUAAAGAGAGUGCACUGUAUAUAUAAUUAUGUUUUACUUCAUGCUUAUGAAAUAGAUGUACAUGUAAUGAUGUAACAUUUCACAGAAUAUAACCGAUUAAAAUCCAAAAUGAG
rnacentral:lncRNA from 1 species